rnacentral:misc_RNA from 1 species
CAACCCUCAAGCCCAGCUUGGUGUUGGGGCAUUGCCUUCCCUCGGGAGGGCAAGCCCUGAAAUUCAGUGGCGAGCUCGCCAGGACUCCGAGCGUAGUAGUAAAACCCUCGCUUUGGACUGUUCUGGCGCGGCCCUGCCGUAAAACCCCCAACUUCUGAAA